AGACCAACAAUUAAGUAGGCUUUCCAACACAGAGCAUUUAGGCUAUGAUCAUGACCAAGAGAAUAGAAGACCAUCUUUUACUUCUGACAAGCUAUACAUACAGAUGACUUGACAACAGUUUACAAAAAGGAAAGCUAAGUGUGAACCUUUGAUCAUGAUGGAGGAAAAACCUCAGUGUUGUCAUCUUUUUAUAAAAAUCAGAAUAUCACAAAAAAUUAUGGUC
rnacentral:misc_RNA from 1 species